rnacentral:rRNA from 1 species
AUUGAACGCUGGCGGCAGGCCUAACACAUGCAAGUCGAGCGGAUGAAGGGAGCUUGCUCCUGGAUUCAGCGGCGGACGGGUGAGUAAUGCCUAGGAAUCUGCCUGGCAGCGGGGGAUAACGUCCGGAAACGGGCGCUAAUACCGCAUACGUCCUGAGGCAGAAAGUGGGGGAUCUUCGGACCUCACGCUAUCAGAUGAUCCUAGGUCGGAUUAGCUAGUUGGUGGGGUAAAGGCCUACCAAGGCGACGAUCCGUAACUGGUCUGAGAGGAUGAUCAGUCACACUGGAACUGAGACACGGUCCAGACUCCUACGGGAGGCAGCAGUGGGGAAUAUUGGACAAUGGGCGAAAGCCUGAUCCAGCCAUGCCGCGUGUGUGAAGAAGGUCUUCGGAUUGUAAAGCACUUUAAGUUGGGAGGAAGGGCAGUAAGUUAAUACCUUGCUGUUUUGACGUUACCAACAGAAUAAGCACCGGCUAACUUCGUG